UACGGAGGAUGCAAGCGUUAUCCGGAAUUAUUGGGCGUAAAGCGUCCGCAGGUGGUUUAUCAAGUCUGCUGUCAAAGCGCGAGGCUUAACUUCGGAAAGGCAGUGGAAACUGAACAGCUAGAGUAUGGUAGGGGCAGAGGGAAUUCCUGGUGUAGCGGUGAAAUGCGUAGAGAUCAGGAAGAACAUCGGUGGCGAAGGCGCUCUGCUGGACCAUAACUGACACUCAGGGACGAAAGCUAGGGGAGCGAAUGGG
rnacentral:rRNA from 1 species